rnacentral:lncRNA from 1 species
CUGAAGAAAACCCAUUAGUCUAAACAGGAGGAUCAACGAGGGGAAAACUGUAGGUAUGGAGGGAGUGUUGCCGAGUGAUGUGUGGACAACUCACCUUCAUUGUGAUGCAAACAUCUGAUGUCUACAGAGAAGAAAAGUUGCAGAGCAGAGAACAAUGUUUGUCUUGUUGGAGGUUUAUAGGAACAUUGUGACCAGACCUACAUGGACAGCUGCAAGAACGAAGGAUUCCAGGAUCAAGAACUCUGCAACA